rnacentral:rRNA from 1 species
CGUGGCGGCGUGCCUAACACAUGCAAGUCGAACGGAGUUACUUAAUUUGUAUCCCUUCGGGUGACGAUUUUUUAACUUAGUUGGCGGACGGGUGGUAACACGUGAGCAACCUGCCUUUCAGAGGGGGACAACGGCUGGAAACGGCCGCUAAUACCGCAUAACAUACCGAGGCGGCAUCGUCUUGGUAUCAAAGGAGCAAUCCGCUGAAAGAUGGGCUCGCGUCUGAUUAGAUAGUUGGUGAGGUAACGGCUCACCAAGUCGACGAUCAGUAGCCGGACUGAGAGGUUGAUCGGCCACAUUGGGACUGAGAUACGGCCCAGACUCCUACGGGAGGCAGCAGUGGGGAAUAUUGCACAAUGGGGGAAACCCUGAUGCAGCAACGCCGCGUGAAGGAAGACGGUUUUCGGAUUGUAAACUUCUUUUUCUUAGUGAAGAAGAUGUGACGGUAGCUAAGGAAUAAGCAUCGGCUAACUACGUGCC